rnacentral:lncRNA from 1 species
AUGGAGCAAGUUCUGGAUCUGAUGGACUGGUCUAUGGAGGUAAUCCCUAAUAUUCCUGUUUCUCCGCUGGUUCCGUCCAGCCCUGACUCCCCUGUAUACCCUCUCAGUCUCCCACUCCUACCUCCUCCAGUCAUUUCCUCUGCUCCAUUUCCGCUGGUUCCAUCCAGCCAUGAGUUUCCUGUUUCUCCGCUGGUUCCGCCCAGCUCUGAAUCUUCUGUGUCUCCGCUGGUUCCGCCCAGCUCUGAAUCUUCUGUCUCUCCGCUGGUUCUGCCCAGCUCUGAAUCUUCUGUGUCUCCGCUGGUUCCGCCCAGCUCUGAAUCUUCUGUGUCUCCGCUGGUUCCGCCCAGCUCUGAAUCUUCUGUCUCUCCGCUGGUUCCGCCCAGCCCUGUAUCUUCUGUGUUCCCUCCCGGCCUCCCUCUCCCACCUCCUCCAGGACCUGCUGGUCCCUCUGCUCCACUUUCGCUGGUUCCGUCCAGUCCUGAUCCUCCUGUCCUUCCUCCCAUCCUUCUCCUCUCUCCUCCUCCUAGACCAGCCAGUUCCUCGUCAUCCCUGCUGGUGCCAGUCAGUCCUGCAGCUCACCCUCAGUCCGCGCCAUCGGGGUGCGGUGGUUUGCCGCUGGACUGCCAGUCUCCAGCUCCGCCUUGGCGUGUUAAGGCCCUGUCUCCGCCUCCAGCCUCCGAGCCCUGGACUCCUCCUCGGUCCUUCGACCCAGCGGCUCCGCCUUGGCUCUUAGCUCCCUCGUCUCCACCGUGGCCUGUCAUCCCACCUGCUCCACCGGGCUCCCUCGUCCCUCCGGCUCCACCUUGGUCAGUCGUCGACCAUCCGCCGCCUCGGGACUCCACUCCUCCGGUUCCACCUCGUCUUUCCAUCCCUCCGGCUCUGUCAGGCUCCUCCUUCCCUCCAGUUCCACCUCCAUCCUCGGUCACUCCGGCUCCACAGCGGUCUGCCAGGACCCCGCCUCCGCCUUGGUCGCCUGAGCCUUCUGCUCCACCUAGGCCCUCCGGAACCUCGAUGUCCCCCUGGCUCUGCGGCUGUGCUGCUCCAUCUUGGGCUCCUCACCCACCGGUGCAGUCUCCGCCUGUCGGCCCCCUGGUGUCGUCGACCCUUCCUUCACCAUGGCUCCUCCCGCCGUCGACUCCACCUUGGAUCUCCGUCCUGGCUGGUCUCUGGUGGACCAUCUGGCUCCUCCUGCUCCUGUCUCCUCCCUGGCUCCUUCCUCCGUCUCCUCCCUGGCUCCUCCUUCUGUGGUCCCUGUCUGCUGGCCCCCUCCUGGGAGUCCGUCCUCCACCGGAACCUCCUCCCAAGUUCCCACCCACGCCUCCCCCUGUUGUUUCUACGGUGCGAGGACGCACCUACCGGGAGGGGGGAGUACUGUCACACCUGGACUCAUUUAGUGUGUUUUUGCCCGUGACCCAGUUUCUGUCUUUCCGUGUUUUGGUUUGA